rnacentral:rRNA from 1 species
AUUGAACGCUGGCGGCAGGCUUAACACAUGCAGGUCGAGCGGAGAUGAGGUGCUUGCACCUUAUCUUAGCGGCGGACGGGUGAGUAAUGCUUAGGAAUCUGCCUAUUAGUGGGGGACAACAUCCCGAAAGGAAUGCUAAUACCGCAUACGCCCUACGGGGGAAAGCAGGGGAUCUUCGGACCUUGCGCGAAUAGAUGAGCCUAAGUCGGAUUAGCUAGUUGGUGGGGUAAAGGCCUACCAAGGCGACGAUCUGUAGCGGGUCUGAGAGGAUGAUCCGCCACACUGGGACUGAGACACGGCCCAGACUCCUGCGGGAGGCAGCAGUGGGGAAUAUUGGACAAUGGGCGGAAGCCUGAUCCAGCCAUGCCGCGUGUGUGAAGAAGGCCUUUUGGUUGUAAAGCACUUUAAGCGAGGAGGAGGCUACCUGGAUUAAUACUCUAGGAUAGUGGACGUUACUCGCAGAAUAAGCACCGGCUAACUCUGUGCCAGCCGCCGCCGUAAAAC